UUAUCAAAAACAUGUCUUUUUGGGGUAAAUAUAAAGUCUGGCCUGCCCAUUGAUAGUAAAUUUAAAGGCUGCGGUAUUUUGACCGUACAAAGGUAGCAUAAUCAUUAGUUUUUUAAUUGAAAACUAGAAUGAAUGGUUUAAUGAGAUAUUAGCUGUUUCAUAAAAAUUUUAUUAAAAAUUAAUUUUUUAGUUAAAAAGCUAAAAUAAAAUUUAAAGACGAGAAGACCCUAUAGAUUUUUAUAUAUAUAUUAUUAUUAUUUAUUUAUAAUUUUUAAAAUUUUAGUAUAAUUUGUAUUUUGUUGGGGUGACAGUAAAAUUUUUUUAUCUUUUAUUAUAAAAAUUAACAAUGAUUUUUGGUUAAAUUGAUCCUAUUUUAUAGAUUAUAAGAUUAAAUUACCUUAGGGAUAACAGCGUAAUUGUUUUGAAGAGUUCUUAUCGAUAAAAAAAUUUGCGACCUCGAUGUUGGAUUAA
rnacentral:rRNA from 1 species